rnacentral:rRNA from 1 species
CAGCAGCCGCGGUAAUACGUAGGGUGCAAGCGUUGUCCGGAAUUAUUGGGCGUAAAGAGCUCGUAGGCGGUUUGUCGCGUCUGCUGUGAAAACUGGAGGCUCAACCUCCAGCCUGCAGUGGGUACGGGCAGACUAGAGUGCGGUAGGGGAGAUUGGAAUUCCUGGUGUAGCGGUGGAAUGCGCAGAUAUCAGGAGGAACACCGAUGGCGAAGGCAGAUCUCUGGGCCGUAACUGACGCUGAGGAGCGAAAGCGAGGGGAGCGAACAGGAUUAGAUACCCGGGUAGUCCCUGUCUCUUAUAC